ACGGAGCGCGUCCGAAGCAGCCCCUUGUUCUGCGUCAGUGUCAGUGUUUUGUGAUUGUUUGACUGGUGCCCGUGCUGUCGCUUAGAAAUAAAGAAAGUAAGAUCAAAACAAUUUGAGUAAGCGGGAGCACGGGCGCAGCUGAAGAAUUCAGCUGUGAAAAAACACCAAAGAUUUUUGUAGCGAGUGGAAAAGAAUGAAGUUUUCUUUUAAUCACUCCGCUGACAGAACCGGUGCCCGGUUCAGGACAUCCCCCGCGACUCAACACUACAAAAAUCUUUGACACGGAGUGUCGAAGUCUGGGGACCUGUGACCACGGCCGGCAGCUGGAAAAGGCGCGGUAAGAGUGGCAGAGGGGCGUUCAUUUAUCCGGAGCGUUAGCCGGAGAACUGAAUCGCUGAGUCGGGGCAAUGGCGGUGAGAAGGUGCAACAAAAUGGAGUCGGUGAGGAAGUGACUUGCCAAGGAGGUUGCGCUCGCGACAAAGUUAUCACCCGUGGCCCAUAAAUCGAGCCAAAAGUGGUCGGGCACGGGUGUGAGACGGAGGUCAACAGGCAACCUCGCAACAAAGAAUUCUCAUCGGCUCCAAGUAGCAGUCGUCGUCAGUUGCACCGAGAGUCAGCGAAGAAUCUUCGGGACGCACCGCGAUGAAGAAGACGUAAAACUACGGAUUCGGCAUGCAGCAGUUUUACGGGGGGGAGUGUUGCGACGGAGCGCGUCCGAAGCAGCCCCUUGUUCUGCGUCAGUGUCAGUGUUUUGUGAUUGUUUGACUGGUGCCCGUGCUGUCGCUUAGAAAUAAAGAAAGUAAGAUCAAAACAAUUUGAGUAAGCGGGAGCACGGGCGCAGCUGAAGAAUUCAGCUGUGAAAAAACACCAAAGAUUUUUGUAGCGAGUGGAAAAGAAUGAAGUUUUCUUUUAAUCACUCCGCUGACAGAACCGGUGCCCGGUUCAGGACAUCCCCCGCGAC